rnacentral:piRNA from 1 species
UUUGAUGUCCAAACGUUAUUA